CGUAGGGUGCGAGCGUUAAUCGGAAUUACUGGGCGUAAAGCGUGCGCAGGCGGUUCGUUAAGUUCGAUGUGAAAGCCCCGGGCUCAACCUGGGAACUGCAUUGGAAACUGGCGAGCUUGAGUGUGGCAGAGGGGGUGGAAUUCCGCGUGUAGCAGUGAAAUGCGUAGAGAUGCGGAGGAACACCGAUGGCGAAGGCAGCCCCCUGGGCCAACACUGACGCUCAGGCACGAAAGCGUGGGGAGCAAACAGGAUUAGAUACCCUGGUAGUCCACGCCCUAAACGAUGCUCACUAGGUGUUGGGGAAGCGAUUCCUUGGUACCGUAGCUAACGCGUGAAGUGAGCCGCCUGGGGAGUACGGCCGCAGGGUUA
rnacentral:rRNA from 1 species